GGGGGCGCGUGGAUUCGACAUGGGAUGGCCUACAGAAUUGCAAGCUGAGGUGCCAUUAACCUCACAAAACAAAUGGCAAAAAAUAAAUGCCGAACCUAUUGCAGCCUAAUUAAAGCUACACACCCACCCCAACCUCUCCUCGAAGGUCGGGACUGGGUGUCAAAAAGUCGAGGUGCUCCAAUCCCGAUGUCGAUAAGGAUUGGAUAAGAGAAAUCGACUGGCUUAACUGGAUUCGGUCAGCAGAUGAAAGUUAGGCGAGACAAAUGGAGCUGGCUAAGCUUGUAGGAUGUUCUGGCAACCCCCCUAUGGACGGGGAGUUCGACUCUCCCCCGCCUCCACCA
rnacentral:tmRNA from 2 species